rnacentral:rRNA from 1 species
CCUACGGGUGGCAGCAGUAGGGAAUAUUGCUCAAUGGGGAAACCCGGAAGCAGUAACGCCGCGUGGAGGAGGAAGGGUUUCGGAUUGUAAACGCCUUUUGUGAGAGAAGAUAAGGACGGUAGCUAACGAAGAAGCACCGGCUAACUCCGUGCCAGCAGCCGCGGGAAUACGGAGGGGGCAAGCGUUACUCGGAACCACUGGGCGUAAAGAGCGCGUAGGCGGGAUAGCAAGUCAGAUGUGAAAUCCUAUGGCUUAACCAUAGAACUGCAUUUGAAACUGUUAUUCUAGAGUAUGGGAGAGGUAGGUGGAAUUCUUGGUGUAGGGGUUAAAUCCGUAGAGAUCAAGAGGAAUACUCAUUGCGAAGGCGACCUGCUAGAACAUAACUGACGCUGAUGCGCGAAAGCGUGGGGAGCAAACAGGAUUAGAUACCCGAGUAGUC